rnacentral:rRNA from 1 species
UGAGUAACACGUAUCCAACCUGCCGUUUACUCUUGGACAGCCUUCUGAAAGGAAGAUUAAUACAAGAUGGCAUCAUGAGUCCGCAUGUUCACAUGAUUAAAGGUAUUCCGGUAGACGAUGGGGAUGCGUUCCAUUAGAUAGUAGGCGGGGUAACGGCCCACCUAGUCUUCGAUGGAUAGGGGUUCUGAGAGGAAGGUCCCCCACAUUGGAACUGAGACACGGUCCAA